CAGAGAAAACAGCUGGCCUGGUCCCAGCCUCCUGAGAACAGAGGCAGAGCCUCAGAGGAGGACAGCUGCACAUCUGGGAUCCUGGGAGAGGAGGGCAUGGCCAAAAGGGAGAGAGAGGGUGGUCCGUGGAAGUGUGUGUGGGUGUUGGGUGGACCCCCAGAAUGGGGGGGGGCCAAGGGCAGAUUCCUAGAGCAGAGACCAGGGUGUGCUCAGUCUAAGCAGAAUGGGCAGGGAUGCCUCCAGCUGGGCUUUGAGGGUCUCAGUCUUCCCUCAAAUAGGAAAGAUGAGGGGCAGGGGAGGAUGUUGAGGACAAGCCUCUGCUCAGCCCUGGGUCCUCUUGGAACCGGGCUUGGAGCCGGAGGUGGGGAGGGUGCCCAAGCUGAGCUCCUGGAUUCCCAUCUGCCGAACUGCACCCAGAACCAGGAGUGGGGUGCGGGCCCAUCCUCUGGCCAGGAUCCUGGGCUCCCUUGGCCACAAAGCAGGACAGGGGACCAGAGAUCCCCCAACUCAGGAGACGUGAAGCUGGCAGCUGGGCCGCUGGCCUAGAAAUGGCCUCAAAUGGAAGCUGCCACCCGAUCCUGGUGGACGCUUUGGAGCUAGGCUAGAGAUCAGGACUCCAGGGUUCAGUGCGCACGUGCUGCCCCUGCACUAGCCCCAGGCCGGAGCUCUUCCUGUGUGUCAGGCUCCACGCGGGAAAAGCUGCCAGUGCAUUCAUUCUCUCGAAGAAUCCCUGCAAACCCUCCCAGAUGGUGGCGUUAUCAGCCCCAUUUUACCCGAGAGGCUCCUGAGGGAAAGAGACCUGUCUGAGGUUGGUGACAGACACCCGGUUCGAUCCCAUCUGUGGUGCCGCCAGGCCUCUCCCUUUUCUGCUCCUCUCCCGAGAGGCUGGAGAGUCCUUUCCCUCCCAGCAGGGUCCGGCGGUGCUCCAGGGGAGCCAACAUCCCCUGCUUUGGAGGGCGGACAGGUCGGGUCGCAGUGAGCAGCUCCGUAGUGCCCCCUAGUUCUACACUCAGACCAAGAGAGGGCUGUGAGGGCUGUGCCCUUUUUUUUUUUUCUUUUUGAGACGGAGUCUCGGUCUGUCAUCCAGGC